AUUUCUUUCAAUGCGUAUCGGUGAGGUUUUGCGCGCGGAGUUUUUCGAAUCAAAGAUCGAAUGAAGCCUAACGACGAGUUGAUUUCCAAGUAAUUAGAAAAAUAAAUGAAAUUUAAAAAAAGGAAUGAAAUAGAGAAAUAAUUUUAAGUCACCUGAUCUUUGUGGCGUUAAUUAAUAGUGACUAAAAAUAUUUGUUAGUUGUGACUACCAUUUGAAUAGUUUGAGAAAGUCAAGUGAAAAAGUCAAGUGAACCUGCUUAAACUAUCGCUUCUUUCCCCCCCCCCCCC
rnacentral:sRNA from 1 species